rnacentral:rRNA from 1 species
AUUGAACGCUGGCGGCAGGCCUAACACAUGCAAGUCGAGCGGAUGAAGGGAGCUUGCUCCUGGAUUCAGCGGCGGACGGGUGAGUAAUGCCUAGGAAUCUGCUUGGUAGUGGGGGAUAACGUCCGGAAACGGGCGCUAAUACCGCAUACGUCCUGAGGGAGAAAGUGGGGGAUCUUCGGACCUCACGCUAUCAGAUGAGCCUAGGUCGGAUUAGCUAGUUGGUGGGGUAAAGGCCUACCAAGGCGACGAUCCGUAACUGGUCUGAGAGGAUGAUCAGUCACACUGGAACUGAGACACGGUCCAGACUCCUACGGGAGGCAGCAGUGGGGAAUAUUGGACAAUGGGCGAAAGCCUGAUCCAGCCAUGCCGCGUGUGUGAAGAAGGUCUUCGGAUUGUAAAGCACUUUAAGUUGGGAGGAAGGGCAGUAAGUUAAUACCUUGCUGUUUUGACGUUACCAACAGAAUGAGCACCGGCUAACUUCGUG